AGAACGAACGCUGGCGGCAGGCUUAACACAUGCAAGUCGAACGCUCGUAGCAAUACGGGAGUGGCAGACGGGUGAGUAACGCGUGGGAACCUGCCCUGUGGUAGGGAAUAACCGUGGGAAACUGCGGCUAAUACCCUAUGAGUCCUUCGGGAGAAAGAUUUAUCGCCAUAGGAGGGGCCCGCGUCGGAUUAGGUAGUUGGUGGGGUAACGGCCUACCAAGCCUUCGAUCCGUAGCUGGUCUGAGAGGAUGAUCAGCCACACUGGGACUGAGAUACGGCCCAGACUCCUACGGGAGGCAGCAGUGGGGAAUAUUGGACAAUGGGGGCAACCCUGAUCCAGCAAUGCCGCGUGGAUGAUGAAGGCCUUCGGGUUGUAAAGUCCUUUCGGCGGGAAGAUGAUGACGGUACCGCAGAAGAAGCCCCGGCUAACUUCGUGCCAGCAGCCGC
rnacentral:rRNA from 1 species